UGAGGGUGAUGUGGGUGGAGGCAACGAUAUCAGUAUGUUUGGUUGCAUUAUGGUGAUCCUAAAUGGUAGUGAUUCUAAGUAGUUUUUCGUGAGAGAUUAGAUUAAGAAUUUAAAUUAUUUGCAUUUUGGCAGUCUUGGUUGAUGGCUAACUGUUUAAUCCUUCACCUAUUUAUCUAUAUAAAUUUCGGCAACAUGGAGCAUUUAUAUAUGUCACCUGUUAAAUGGGCUGGAGAGCACUCAAUUGGUCAGAGAGCUUUUUCCUUGGAACCUUUUGCCAUAACAGAAUUCAUAAUUCAAUAGGUAACAAGUAAAAGCAAAUACACACAUAUAUAAAUAGAUAGACAGAUAGAUAAAUAUAAAUAUAAAUAUAAAUAUAUAUAUAGCAACAACCAACAUACUCAUGAUCCAUCAAUCUAUUAUAAGUGUAAUAAUGGUGCUUUUUGAGCCACAACCUAUUGGUAGGUAGUAUCCAUACCAAGAUCAAGUAUGUAGGGUCCAUAGGCAAAUUUCCAUUUUGUCAUUAUCGAAACUACAUCGUCUACCACCCAAGAGGCAUGGCUCUGAAUUAUUCAUCAAAAUUACCACAUAGCAGCCGGCUAAAUCAUGAUUAUAAACAAAAAAUAGUUAUUUUAUUCUAAAUUCUAAUAUCUAUCUUAUUUUAAAUAUUUUAUUUAUGAUAAAAGAGAUCCAUAAAUAAUAGGCUACAAGAGGAGAGGUAGCCCUCUCUCAAAUAUUCCUAAUCUCGAAUCCACCAAGAGAAGCAAGAGAAUAUAAGAUAAUUUGGUCAAACUUUUCUAAGAUAUUUAUCCACUAAAUAACGGACUCUUAGUUGUCAUCCUACAAAUAAACAGAAGACCGUAGUCUCUGCGAAACAAAAGAUCAUUGGAAAAGAAAGAAAGGCAUUUCUAAAGUACAUAAAGAAAAUAGAUGCAGUACUUCACUGUAUUUCAUGGUCUGAAAAAUAGAAACGAGUGGAAAAUUUCAACAUGGCAACCUGAUUAAGCUUCCAUAACGUGGCUGAUCCAAGAGGCAUCCUCUGCCGAUGCAGCCAAUGCUCUCAAUCGAUUCAGCUCUGGUUGCGCAACAUCAGCUAAAUCUGGACGAUCUUUGCGCUGAAGCUCAGCACACUUCAGAGCUAACUGUACAAGCUUCACUGUAUCCUCCAUUGGCCAGUCUGGCACAUUAGGAUCCAAUAACUCGCCGAGCAUUCCCUUCUCCAAAACGUCAUCAACAUUAUGUGCAAGCUCCAUAUAGAGGUGGUCGUGCAGUGAUCAGUUGUAGGAGGAUGAUUCCAAGGGCAUAGAUAUCAGAUUCAACGUCGAGCAAUCUGGUCGUCUGGUACUCAGGGUCAAUGUAACAAAAGUUUCAGCUGCAGCAGUCAUGCAGUAUUGAGUAGCGAGCGAGCCUGCAGCAGCAGGAGGAAUAAGGCUUGAGAUCACGAUGAACAAGGGGCUCGGGCUUAGUCUGGUGGCUAUUUCUGCUGCAAUCUUGAAACGGAGGUUGCCAAGAGAGUGGUGGAGUGCUGUUCUUGCAGAAAAGACUGUCUUCGAGGCUGCCAUUGGCCAUGCGUUCAACACCAGGCAUCCAUAUGCUGGGCAUGCACCCAUGAGGAGGACCAUAUUUGGAUGGCGAAUGCAGCUCAAAACCUCCACCUGAAGAAUUUCGCAUAUUAGAUGCGUUAUAAAAGUUUCAAGGUGAUAUAGUGACAUAAAUACCUACUAGCACCCUAGGCAAUUGAAAUAAAUUACAUGGCAUGCGAAAAAGUUGAACAGAACAUAAAUGCAAGCAGGCAACCAAGGAAGGGUGAGAAAAAUUAGCAGAGGUCAGGCACAAAAUGUACUGCUUUGCAGUCCAAAAAGCAGGGGAGCCCCUAUGUCUGUAAUGCUUUUCGUCAUCGAUGGUUCUUAUCAAAUGUUAUGCUCUUUUAUCAGAGUUCGUGCCAAAGCAGUACAUUUUAUAAAACAUGAUAAAAUAAUAAAUAUAGCUGCUUAGAGACAGAUCUACUGCACGAGUCUUAUGAUGUGUGCCAAUAACUACACGAUUCUAGAUAAACGUCUAAAUAAAUUUCUAUUGGAUUUAGUCACUAAGUAUGGCAAACUUCAAAUUAUCUUAAUUGCACAAUUUUAAGAGUUUGCCGGAAUCAUUUUUUUUUCCUUUCUCAUUUCCUAAAUCUAACUCAUAGGACUCAACUACCUUAACAAAGAUUCUGGAGUAACAAGUUGCAGAUCAUCAAUACUAGCUAGGGUUGCACAAGGAAUCAUGAAAUGAGAAUUUUAGUUUUAUAACUCAUCUCCACCCCACCUUUUUUUUUGUCUUGGUAGAAGCAGGGAUUGGCCCUUAAUUACAAUGAUGGAAGGAACAACCAUUGGCGUCAGCAUUGAAGAGUACCAAACCAGGAGUGAAACUGGAAGACCGGCAAGCAGUGAGGCCAAGAAUGGUAACCAUGCUUGCCGGAAAUCAAUGCACUGAUUCCCUUCUGGAAACGUGCAGGAAACCUCAAACCAAUGAAGUCUCCUUGCAGAAAUCUGAGUGGCUUUUAGGGUAGAAAUUGCUGCUCAAAGACCCUCUUUAGCAAGGGUUUGGGUUGUAUUUUUCGUACAAAAGAAUGAUUGAUCUACUUUCACAAUGUCAACUAUUGAAUCGUGCCCCGCAUAUAUCUCAAAACAUUAUGAAUUUCUUCAAUCAUCCACCUGCACAGAUCUCAAAGCGAACAUUGUGCGGCUCAACUGUGGAUUCGCAUGAAGGAAGGCGAGUCCUUUGUUCGCUUCUCGAAAGAUACAACCCCUAUCCCUUUAGCAACUGAUAGUUCAACAAUAGGGCCGGAUCUAGUGCAUUUUGGAGUGGCUACAACAAGGAGGAUAUACACGGUCCUCCUUUGUUCCACGCUGCAAACCGAGCACCUACUGUAUUAAAUGCAUUAGAGAGAGGAUGGGGUUGAAUUAAAGUCACUAGGGUUCAAUCCAUGGCUCGACUAACUAGUGCCAAUGGUCUAGUAUGAUUCGCGGGAUCUCCAUCACCAGCACAGCCCCGCCGCUCCACUCGCCAGGCACUAGAAUAUUUCCGUCUUAUUGAAGCAAAGCCCAAAGCCCAUCAAUACUGGGUGUUGAGCUUAACAAUAGGGAUUCCUUUAGUUUACUUUGACUAAAAUAUUUUUUUUCUGAAAAGCUAAUUUUUGAAAAUAUAAUGCCUAAAAAAAUAUUUUUGACAUAUUUGAUUGAUCAUAGAAAAGUAGUACAUUCCAGUUAAGCAUCUACUUUUCUAAAAAAGUUGUAUGAAAUAUUUAUUAUAUCCUUAAUAAAGAAAAAGAUCUUAUUCAUGAAUUGUAAUGGCUUAAGGAUAGUUUUAGAAAAAACUUGCCUCCCUAGAGGCUAGAAUCCGGCAUCUGAAAAUUAUAAAGUCUACACGUAUAACCUUUUCAAAAUGAUAUGAUUGUUUAUUGUAUACACGUGAACUUGAUAAAUUAAUAUAUUCAACCGCCUCUUAUAUAUUGCCCCAAGAUAUAAAAUAAUAAUACUACUAUAAUCCAUCACGACACAAUAUUGAUUAUGAUUUUUACUAUUUUUUUAAAAUAAAAUAUUGUUUUUAAAACCUAAGUUUCUUUUAUAUAUCAAGAUCUCCUGGGGAUUGUAUGCCAAAAAUAUUUGUUAUUCAACAGAAAAUAGAAAGUGAAGAAAAAAAUAUAAUACCAUAACUUUCUUCAUUAUCAUUCACUAUUUUUUUAUAGCACCAUUAUAAUAACCAUUAUAUCAGUAAUUAUUUCAAUAUAAAAGUUCGAAUGCUACUUUCUAAGGCAAGCUAUGGCCGCUAUAAUGAUUUAUAAUGAUCUCUUCAAGUCUAUUAUAAUAGUAUAAUAGGUUAUCUAGCUAAAAUUUUAUAUUAAACUAAAUUUUAUAAAUUAUUAUAUCAAUUUCUAUGAGUUACAUCAAUACAGUCAUGCCAUCUAAUAGCAGUUACAUGGUUCACCUUUUAAUCGAAAUAUAGCAAUUUUUAUCCAUAUUUGGAGCCGGCUUCAAAUUUUCAACAACAUGCCUAGAGAAUCGUCGGUGGGUCCCAGAUUGAGUUUUCUUUUUUCUUUUUUCUGUCGUACGCGAGACUCAGUGUUGAAUGUUGAUGGAAACGUAAGUUCCCACAGGAGCAUCAGCAUCCAACGGCCUCCACGUCCUCACCGUCCUCCCGCGUGGUCCCAGGAUCCGCUGUCCCACGGCGCGUAUACAUUCUCAUGCCGUCCCUCUUGACAUCACAUCGUGCCACGUGCCAGCAAGCCCUACGCGGUCUCUUUCUCUCUCUCUCCCUAUAAAACCCCCUCGUUCCCGGAACCUGUGGAGACGCAUAGCAACUUAGCAAAGUUUGAGGAGAGGAAGGAUAUUAUUCGGGCCAGCCGGGGAAAAGUCCGCUCGGCCGCGCAUGGAGAAUCCGCCGCCUAGGCCGAGGGAGGCAAGCGCUGUUAACCACUACAGGGGGGUUCGGAUGAGGAAGUGGGGGAAAUGGGUGGCCGAGGUGCGGCUGCCCAACAGCCGGGAGAGGAUAUGGCUGGGGUCUUAUGACACCGCCGAGAAGGCGGCCCGCGCCUACGACGCCGCCUCGUAUUGCCUACGCGGCACCCAGGCCGUCGUCAACUUCCCCGCUGACCCGCCCGACAUCCCUUCCCCUGGCCGGCUCACCAGAGACGAAAUCCGGGCGGCGGCCUCCAGGCAUGCACACGAGGCUCCUCGAGCCCGGCCAGAGGGCGAUGCGGGACCGAGCAAUGCGAGGCAGGCGGCUGAGGACGUGGUGAUGUCAAUGCCACAGGAACUAUUUUCGCCGCAGUUUUAUUACUUGCCACUGGGAAAUACUGGUGAUCACUAUCAUGGCGGUGCUGGAAAUGAUCAUGACGACGACGAUGGCGGCAAUGAUGAUGUCGGCGGAUCUUCGUACCUUUGGAGUUUUUGACUCGUUAAGUUUUUUCUGUUUCUGAGUCACUUAAACGAGUGGGGACCUAAGUGAGUUAAGAAGGUUCCACCGUCUCGCAUGCAUGCAUCCUGUGAGGGCAUGGGAUGUGGGUUUUAAACGUUUUCAAGCGUGGCGGCCGGUCGGUCCUUGCAACUGGCAGGAGCUGCAAAAGACUUUUAGGAUUAUUGAAACAAUGUCGGCAAGAUAUAUCUUCUUAAUUGUACUUAUGCUAGAGCUAUAUGAAACUGCUGUUGCUGUUAAAUAUAUAUUUAAAAAAAACAAUGCCGGAAAGUUGCCUACAAGAAUUAAGGUUGUUGUCCUCUAAACAAUGUACGCGUCAUGCACUGGUGAUAAAAUUUUGUCCGAUGGAAGCUGCAGGGCUUUAAAUUUUAAUCUCUGUGAAUUGCACCAAAUAAGUUCUCUAAUAACCUGGUUAAUUAUUUCUUGAUUUGAAGAAGACCGAAACAGAAACCUUUAAAAGACGUUAAAAAAAUGAUAAUGUAUAAUAUCAAUCGUUUUUUCUUCUCUUCCUUCCUCCGGUGGAUUCUUUGAUCACCUCAUUUGUAUCAUUUCAUUCUCCUAAUGAAAUGGUGCUGAAAUCUCACCAUCUCUCAAAAAUAUUAUAUAUAAUAAUAUUAACUAUUGUCACACAUGCAUAGAUUUUCUGUACUAUGCUCUUUUUUUGAGGAAAUUUUCUGUAUUAUGCUCGCUUUAUUUGAUCGUAUUCGAAGUAUUCUAGUCCUAUUUUAUCCGUCAAGCCAACUCGAUCGUAGGCUCCCAUCAUAUAAAUUCUAAAUUGUGUCCACAGGUGGGGGGUAGAGAGAGAGAGCUUCUGUUUAUCCAUACAGAAGAUCGACAGCUAGUGUACGUGAUUGCUUUGCAAAACGUAUGUGGAUCUGGAUUUUGGUUAAAUAGUGCAGGUUUUUUUUUUUGGUGAGAAAAUAGGAGGGGAGGGAAAGAGGCGAACCUCAUCCGCGUAGCAGUUCCUACUGGGCUUCCCUUCCACCAAAAAAUGUUCGAUGCAAGCCGCAAGUUUUCGAUCCAUGGGUUCUUCCCACUGGGCUCAUCACCCAUGUGUGAGUACGUUACUCCGGCGCCACCUCGGUAUCAGCGGACCAGUAGCGCUCCUACCGGCCGUAUCCAGGUGUGGGGCAUCCAGUCCCUAAAUUUAAUCGAUGCUCACGCGUUUCGAAUCUGGACCACUCCGGUGGAAGGCAACAUUCUGUUCCAUCUGUGCUACCACUUUGGCUUUGGUGGUUUUCUCUUUUUUUUUUUCCGCUAUGUCAGCCUCUUCCUUCCGCUUCUUUUUGUGAAAAAGAGAGAGGACCACGCAGUUCAUAAGGAAAAUGAAUGGAAGGAGACGCGCGCAAAAGAAAGAGAAUGCAGAUCAAACAGCCUCUCUCCAAAAAUAGCACUCCCGCGUACUAUGUCUCAUUCUAGAAGGUCUCCCUCUAGGAUUUCAAGCCAAAGACAAAAAGUUUGAUCGUAAAUAGCUGAUUCCAAACUGGGGCUGUCCUUCCACAAGAGGAGAUGCCGUGGGGAUCCAAUACUUCAUCCACUUUUGGCAACCAGGCAUUUGAAAAAUGAUAAAUCAACUACAGAGAUCGAGCACAUCCUUGAUUAGUUUGCCAACCUUGGUUCGUGGUGGCGGUGCGACACGUAGAAGUUGCCAUAUUAUAAUAAUUUAAUGAAUAAAACUUCUGAAAAGAUCAGAUUGAUAGAUAAACUUGUUUCUAAGAACAUGAUUUGGGGUACACGCAACUUGCCUUGUCUCGUGCAUGGCUCGGCCAGGCCGAGCAUGCAUGUGUGGUCACCAGCCUAAUCUCUUUAAAGCCCAAUUUUAGUUGUAGACUGGGUUGCUUCUUUGUUGCUCGGCACUUCGGCACUUCGGAGAGUUUAUUUGGACGAGUACAGCAGAUAUAUCUUUUUUCUUAUACUUUUUUUUUGAUUUAGCAGGCUGUACCUAUGUUGGAGCUGCAUGAAAUGCUGUUUUUAUAAAAAAAAACAUCUGAUUUAAAAAAAAUAAAUAUUUGAAAAAUGAUUCACCGGACGUGCCACACUGCACUGCGCCUCAUAUAUGGUCAGUCGAGCCAAGCCGAGUUGAGCCAAGGUCACCAGCUCAAUCUCCUUGAAGCCCGAUUUGGAUUUCAACGGAUAGGACUUUUAUAAAAACAAGAGUUUUUAUUUUCCAUAUCUAAUAUAGGACUUAAAAAAAAGUGUUUUAAAGCUUUUGAAAUAAGUAAAAAUAGAGGAUAAGCUUCUAUUUAAAAUUUAAAUCUUUUCAAAUUAAAACAUCCAACAGGAAGUUCUUCGUCCAUGCCCUUUGUUCAUUAUUGCUAGCUACAUGAAAAUGAUGGACAUGCACGUCUCUUUUGACAGAAACACUUACCACAUUCUUUUUUAAAAUCCAUAGAUGAAGAGAAAAUGAGUAUAUAUAUACUAAGUUUCAAACGGAAGGUUUGCAAUUGCAAGGAAAAAGCAUGUGUUCAAAGCAACACGAGGACUACUCUGGCCAAACUCAUGGAAGACACUUCCUGAUCGAGGUUCAUCGAUCCAGCUCAAGCCUCUUCCUAAUAAGGGAGCUUGGAGGUGACAACUAGUUCUAUUACGCACUUUAUAUCUUUUCCUUACUUAUACAAGAGUGCAAAGACCUACGACAUGCAUGGAGUCAUGGAGAAUAAAGUGGUAGAAAGGGAUUGCACUCUCCAAUGUUCCAUCCUGUGAACCGCCAAGUUAGAAAAACAUAGUUUUGGAUGACGACUCCAUCGUGGUAUUCAGCCAAUCCAUCAUCAGAUAACAUGGAAACCAUGUCGAAUUUGGAUGCGGCUGGAUGGUUAGAAUGGGAUUGGAUAAGUCCUGGAUGGGCCCGGGAUUCACUUGUGCGCCGUUUUUUAGUGAGACCAGGCUCUGGUGUUUUAGCUGGAUAUACAGGAUAUUAGAUAUAUCCUCCGAUCCAUUUGCUUUCUUCUGCGUUUGUUUUGUCCUACUCAUUUUCUUCUACAUUCUUCAUGCCGUUCUUGUUUCAUUUCAUGCAUCCACGAAAUUUGAGGUGGCUUGUCAAUGAUCUUCUUGACGAGAAAACCUAUUUAAAGCGUGACAAUAGUAUCUCAUAGCUUUCAUUGUUUGUCCAAUUAAUACAAAUUAAGUAUCGUGGUAAAAGCUAAUCGCCUCGUGUUUCAACUUGAAUUUUUUUUGAUGGAGCAAUUGGAAAUAUCAAUAAAGACUUUCUCCGAAUGAAUAAAUAUUAUCUAUCAGAUAAAUGGUUUUUUAAAGAAGUUGGAUAGGAUGUAAAGGGGAAAAAUAUGCCAUCAUAUAUUUAAAAUAAACAAGAUGAGUCUUUAAUCAUAUUUACUUAUUCUCAUAUUUGGUUUGAAAUUAGUCACACAUUGGUAGCCCUCCGCAAGCCAAGAUGGUACAUGGCUUGACAUUCCCUACAACAUCAUUUUCUUAAAGACAGAAUUAAGCACUUGCCAUCUAUACCUACUUGUCUAGAUUACAUAGUUUUCGCAGAAAAUGCUGCAUGACAAAAUUUACUUUGGCAUGUGGAACUGUUGUGAACAAACAAUACUCUGGGGAGCUCUCUCUACGUCAUUCUUAGAUAUUUUCUAAUUGAUUGGAAUUAUAAUGCUGAUUUUCUUAUUUCUCUAUUUUGGAUUAUGCUAGCAGACGCUACUAAAUCUUCACAAAAAUUUCUUAUCAAUAUUUUGCGGGAAGACAUCGAAGAUAAGAUGAGUCGACGGAAGUUUGAACCGAGGAAGAUGAAGGAUAUGUCAGAAGAUACUUGUAAAGCGGUAUAUAAUGCAAAACAGUACGUUAAGUUAUUUGUGUUCUUAACUCAUAGAUAAUGCAGCAUGGCUGGGGUAAAUGAUAGGCAUAUGGUAUACAGAAGCAAUGUUUUCGUAAUACUUGUGAUUUGUUUAUAUGGAGAUUAAUUUUUCUUUCAUUGAGGCUAGACCAAACAAACCUUUAGCAUACCUAUGUGCCUUUUACACUCUAUAUAAGCAAAUUAAAAAAUUAUAAUUAGUAUCAGAUGGACCCCGAAACCAGUUGCAUAUUCAACUUUUAUUUUGUGUGGAUGAAUGCUCAUCCUUCUUUUUCCCCCUUCCACAAAGUUUUUGUGAUCUCCCAUUUAUGAAUUUGUUUUUCUGCAGUCAAUAUAAAGUGGGUGUUUUUGCGCAUACAGGCAAAUUAUGUCGACAAGGCAGAUGGAGGGCUGAGAAGGGAAGAGACAAGAUUGGCUAGGGAAUUGAAUGACACCUUAUAUGGCAGAAAAGGAACAGAACCCUAAGACAUUGUUCCAAAUGAAGUUUUCAGAUAGUUUUAAUUCAAAUGUUCGGUAUAGGAGAUAUACUGUUGAGGAGAUUCAGAAGGCGACCGACAAUUUUUCAGAUGCCUUAAAGAUUGGGGAGGGUGGAUAUGGACCUGUUUACAAAUGUAACUUUGAUCAUACUGUUGUUGCAAUCAAGAUUCUUCAAUCUGAUCCAACUCAAGGAAUGAAACAAUUUCAUCAAGAGGUAUGCAUAAAUGUCAUGCUAUCUUUUCCUUUUCUCAAGUCUUUUUCAAUCCGAUGUUCCGCAGCCUAGUUCACAAGCUUAAAAUGUUUUUGACGUAUGACUUGGACAUCAGAGUUUCAAUGUCUCAAUUGAAUAAGUGGCAUGUAAAGCAGCGUGAAACCAAGGGACAACACCAAUAAAGAUCCAGUCUUUAUAAAAGUCUAUUGGUAUCAGCAAGUGUUAAUUAAAUACUGGCUAAACACCAAGGUUCUCAGAGUAGAAAUAUUUAUCCUGCUCUUCUUUCUCAACCUUUGAUUCAUGCCAUUUCUAGAUGUUUAAUCAGCAUAUGAAAGCCAUGAAACUCAUCAGAUAUUGAUAUCAUGUUCCAUUCGUUUCGUUAUCAUAGAUCUAGGACGACUUUACAUCUCUUUGGUUCCAUAUUGGUCAACCCAUUCCCGAACCAAAUUGUCCACGAGAUAGCCUUUUGAUCAUUCAUGCGACCUGUUUGUUUAUUGGUUCAUGCUGAGUUGGGUUGAUCUCAGGACAUUUCAUGUUGGGUAAGACUCUAACAAUUUUAUAUAUUAAAACCCGUUCUUCUAAAACUUUCUUGGUUGGCCAGCUGGGAUCCGCUUAGGUCGAAACCAACUUUUUCAGGCCCUACGGCGCCAUCUGAUUGUAUAAUCAUGUCUUGCUAUGGGAGAUAUUGGACCUGAGACUGACUGUGCGUUGUAUAAUCAUGUCUUGCUAUGGCAGAUAUUGGACCUGAAACUGACCUGGUGUAUGAACGCAUGGCCAAUGGCAGCCUCGAAGACAGUCUUUUCUGCACGAACAGCACUCCACCACUCUCUUGGCAAGCUCCGUUUCAAGAUUGCAGCAGAAAUAGCCACCAGACUAAGCCCGAGCCCCUUGUUCAUCGUGAUCUCAAGCCUGGCAAUAUCUUUCUUGAUGAGAACUUUGUUAUCAAGAUUGCAGAUGUUGGCCUUGCACGCCUUAUUCCUCCUGCUGCUGCAGGCUCGCUCGCUACUCAAUAUUACUGCAUGACUGCUGCAGCUGGAACUUUUUGUUACAUUGACCCUGAGUACCAGACGACCGGAUUGCUCGGCGUUAAAUCUGAUAUCUAUGCCCUUGGAAUCAUCCUCCUACAGCUGAUCACUGCACGACCACCAAUAUAUGGGGCUUGCACAUAAUGUUGAUGACGUUUUGGAGCUGAUACAAUGAAGCUUGCACAGUUAGCUCUGAAGUGUGCUGAGCUUCAGCGCAUGGAUCGUCCAGAUUUAGCUGAUGUUGCGCUACCAGAGCUGAAUCGAUUGAGAGCAUUGGCUGCAUCGGCAGAGGAUGCCUCUUGGAUCAGCCACGUUAUGAAAGCUUAAUCAGGUUGCCAUGUUGAAAUUUUCCACUCGUUUCGAUUUUUCAGACCAUGAAAUACAGUGAAGUACUGCGUCUAUUUUCUUUAUGUAAUUUAGAAAUAAAUUUCUUUCUUUUCUAAUGAUCUUUUGUUUCACAGAGACUACGGGUCUUCUGUUUAUAUGUAGUAUGACAACUAAGAGUCCGUUAUUUAGUGGAUAAAUAUCGUAGAAAAGUUUGACCAAAUUAUCUUAUAUUCUCUUGCUUCUCUUGGUGGAUUCGAGAUUAGGAAUAUUUGAGAUGGAUUCGAAAUUAGGAAUAUUUGAGAGAGGGCUACCUCUCCUCUUGUAGACUAUUAUUUAUGAAUCUCUUUUAUCAAAAAUAAAAUAUUUAAAAUAAGAUAGAUAUAAGAAUUUAGAAUAAAAUAACUAUUUUUUGUUUAUAAUCAUGAUUUAGCCGGCUGCUAUGUGGAAAUUUUGAUGAAUAAUUCAGAGCCAUGCCUCUUGGGUGGUAGACGAUAUAGUUUCGAUAAUGACAAAAUAGAAAUUUGCCUAUGGACCCUUGAUGACCCAAAGAUUGAUUCAUANNNNNNNNNNNNNNNNNNNNCUUGGGUUGUAUCUACUGGGCAACAACCCUACUACCAACCAAUAGGUUGUGGCUCAAAAAGCUCCAAUAUUAUACUCAUAAUAGAUUGCUGGAUUAUGAGUAUGUUGGUUGUCGCUAUAUAUAUUUUAUCUAUCUAUCUAUUUAUCUAUUUAUAUAUGUGUGUGUUUGCUUUUACUUGUUACUCAUUGAAUUAUGAAUUCUGUUAUGGCAAAAGGUUCCAAGGAAAAAGCUCUCUAACCAAUUGAGUGCUCUCGAGCCCAUUUAACAGGUUACAUAUAUAAGCCUUUACAUGCUCCGUGUUGCUGAAAUUUAUAUAGAUAAAUAGAUGAAGGAUUAAACAGUUAGCCAUCAACCAAGACUGCCAAAAUGCAAUUCAUUUAAAUUCUUAAUUUGAACUCUCAUGAAAAACUACUUAGAAUUACUAUCAUUUAGGAUCACCAUGGUGCAACCAAACAUAUGAUAUUGUUGCUUCCAUCCACAUCACCGUCAAUCCUAGGGUCAUUACCCUAUAUCAAACACCCUCUAUAAGCUCUAAAUGUUUAAUGUAGUACAUGUUACGAUUUGAAGGGAGGUGGGAGGUUGAGUUAAAUAUCUAUACAUUACUUGCAGUUGCAUUUGGGCAAAGGAUGCCUGGUUGAGUUGUUCAGAAUUAAAUGCAGCAUCCUUCUAUGUAUUUUUGUGUUUCUGUGCCUUUUAGUUUAGUAUACAAACAAAAAUCAUACGGAGCAAGUAGAGAAAAAAAUAUGGAAUAGGUUUUCUAUUUUGUCAUAAUUUUUUCUAAUACCAAUUUUAAAGACAAAAACCUAGAAGUCAUAGACUUCUUCGAGUCAUCAAUUCCAUGAUUAAAAAAAAGGAGUGCCACCCUGUAUGAUUUUUGUUCUUCAAUAUGGUAGAUCAUCUAAUAAUUAAUGAUCAAGUGUAAAGAAAAAUUGUUGGUGAAGAUCACCUCUCCCCCUUUUUAAUAGUUUGGUGCUGGCAUUUAAAUAACCAAUAGAAUCUGAUCCUUAUCAUGCGUUCUUGUAAGUGGUUAAAUCUGAGUUUCUGAGAUUUCUUAAAGGUCUUAUUCCCUGCCCAUUCCCAAAUCUCGAUCAAAUGUAUCUUAUAAAAGGGCCUGGAGCAGCUGGAAGUUCUUAAGCUAUUCUGCACUUGAAAUCCCUUAUCUUUAUUUGCUCCACCUGAUCUUGUGUUAAUUGAUCUGAUCUUAUGUUCUUUUUUUUUUUUGUGAUGCGGACCUCACCAUUUCUUUCUUUUCUUUCUUUCUUUUUUUUUUUUUGGUUAUAAUAGGGACUCACACACUGUGUGCAUGGGUGUAGUCCAUAAGAUUAGAAAAAAGUAACGGAGUGCAAGAGAGAAAGGAUGGAUGCGUGAUUCUCUCAAAUAAACCUUCAAGAGUGAUAGGCCGUAUAAGACGCCAUCGAGUCUGUAGCGCUGUUUGCCUUUCUAUAGAUAUGUAUAGUCCAAUGGAAAGCGCACUCGCCUAGAAUAUAGUGGAUAUUGUGGAGCAGCCGUAUCCCACUAGCUACAUGUCUCCAACUCUAAAUCCAUCCGAUCAUCGUAGCCGAAUCUUUCUCAAGAAGUAUGUGGACCUCAAUGCUUCCUUCUUUGUUUUAAGUCCUCUCCAGGUGAAUAGCAGUCUUUGUUCCCAGAGUCAGCUGCACGUUAGGUACUGUCCUUCUCAUCGCCAAACCAGUGAAGCAUGAACUCACCCGAGCAAUAAAUAAAUAAAUAAAUAAUCCCCACGAUGCUAAAGGAGAACAAAAAAAGAGAUCAAUCACCUUCAUUAGAGAUUUCCUCAAGGAUUUAGUCCCUCUAAGCAACUCCAUUAAUGGUUUAAUUGUUAUAAGAUCAAGGUUGUCAUUCUCGCAUUACACCAAUAAAUACCAACUAGCCCAAAGCAAGCAAACAUAAUAAAUAUGCUUUAUUAUAUAAAAGGCCAGACAGCUCUAUCUGAAAGCGAUUCUUUCACUAAAUCCGCCGAGGCUGUUCUUUUCAGGGCGGCACGGGACUAAUAUUAUAUGAUUAUUGUGAGCUGGAGCUGACUCAGAACUCUAGAUAUCCACCAAUGGAUCGGAUUCGCCUCUAGAUCCAUACCCAAUAAUUUCAGUUAUGGGUUUGAAUUAGACCCAAGAUCCAACUAUUCUUGCCCUAUGUAGACUCAAAAUAUCAGCUAUAGCCCAUGUGAUGUUCGGAUUCAGAUCAAAUCCACUAACUAAAUGAACCGGGUAUAGAUUGAAUUAUUGAUCCAAAACCCAUUAUCGUCCUAAUUAUAGGAAGAUAUUUAUUUUAAUGUGGUGCGGGAUAUUAGUUUCAAGUAAAGUGGAAUUUGGAAUCCAGGAACGUAUGUCAUGAGGAAAAGUAACACCAUGUGGGUCCUAGUGGGAAUGUACACGCGGUGUCAUCCACUGAAUUCGCCUGCCUUCAAAUUUGCGGUGUGGGACGGAAGAUUGGAAAUUUCGGACGGGGACGGUGAGGACGUGCAUGGAGGCCGUUGGAUGCUAGCUGAUGAUCCUAUGGGAAUUACCCACGUUUCUCCGUCAACAGCGAGUCCCGAGUACGACGGAAAAAAGAAAAAGAAAAAUCAAUCUGAGACCCAUGCACCGACGUUUCUCUGGACACGUUGAGGUUGAAAAUUUGAAGCCAACUCCAAAUAUCGAUAAAAUUUGCCGAGUGCUUCUCUCACUGGCCGCCCAUACUUACAGAAAGACAAACAAUAUGAUUGACUGGGUAGCAUUUACGGCUAAGCAUUCUAAAAAUUUUAUUUAGAACAACUGCAUCUUGUUUUCUUGGUCUUUGUAUUCUUUUAUCCUUUUGAUCUUUCGAGCCGGACCGAUUCCCAUUGUGUGUGAAGCACCAUUGUACCGAAAAAAAUAAAAAUAAAAAUAAAAAUUGCUAUAUUCAGACUAAAAUUUAGAGAAUAAAGCUAGUAUAUUUAUUUUUUAAAAUUAUUUUUUUAAAAAAAGUUAAUAUUGGGAUUUUUUUCAAGCCCCCUUUAGGGGUUCGCUGCCACGUGUGGCUUAUGGGGGCCACAUGGUAGCAUCGGUACUUGACAGCCCAGCUUGUCGAUGCGCUCAUGAGGGCGCAUUGCAAAGCCCCUCCUGCCCACUUGUCGCUUAGUAUGGAGCUCUGCUCUGCCGUUGAUAGCCGUGGGGGGUGCCCUGCGGUGGUCAGCCUCGGCUUAAAGAAAUAAAGUUACGCAUCUACUAACAGCAAUUGUUUUUGGUAUGGUGGUAAGCGCUUGAUCCAACAAGUGGUAUCAGAGCGAGGUUGUAGGUUCGAACCCCCAGGGUGUCGCUUGGGAAGGAUUGUCGGGAUUUUUCCAAGCCCCCGUAGGGGUUCGUUGCCACGUGGGGGCUNNNNNNNNNNNNNNNNNNNNUUUCCAAGCCCCCGUAGGGGUUCGUUGCCACGUGGGGGCUACAUGGUGGCAUCGGUGCUUGACAGCCUAGUCUGCCGAUGAGCUUAUGGGGGCGCAUUGCGAAGCCCCUCCUGCCCACUUGUCGCUUAGUACGGGGCUAUGCUUUGCCGUUGAUAGCCAUGGGGGUACCCUGCGGCGGUCAGCCUCGGCUUAAGAAAAUAAAGUUGCACCUCUACUAACAGCAAUUGCUUUUGGUAUGAUGGUAAGCGCUUGAUCCAACAGUUAAAACUCCAAUAAUCCCCCACAAAAUAUUUAAAUUUAGAAAAAAUAUAUAGAAGAAAAUCUAAGCAACCAUAUUGUGUAAUGGGUGAGGUAUCUCGUAGAUUUGAAUCUCACUUAGUGUUGAUAGUAUCUAUCUGAAGGAACCAUUGUAGAUUAGACCUUGAACUAGGUCCUUUGACUCAGACUUCUAUUUAUCAUACAUAUAAUAUGGAUCAAUUGGGUUUUUAUGCAGUUAGCGCCAUUCAAAGGCUUUGUGUUUAAUACUUAAUUUUUCAAUAGAAUUUUAUUAGGGUGAGCCCAAACCCCUAGUCGUGGCCUAUACGACAAUUUUCUCAUAGAUAAGUCCUCCAAGGAUAUUUGUGACUUAAUACCCUACAGAUUUUCUAUCUUGGACUCAUUAAGAGUAUAACUCAAUAUUUCCGGUAUAUAUUUUUGUCAUUGAUAAGGGCACUCAUAAUAAGGAUGGAAGGAGAUAUACUCCGAAAGAUGUGCUCUGACACGAUCACUUAAUCAGUUUUAUUUCUACCAUAUUGAUUGCCCUUCAUGGAAUCUUCAAUCAUAGAGAUUGGGUAUCCACUAUCGGUGACCAAAUAGUGGACUUAAGCCACAUCUCCCUCGAUGAUUCUAGGACUCUACUCCUAGACAAUCCUCUGGUUAAAUGGUCUGCUAAGUUUUUCUUAAACUUGAUAAAUUUCAAAAAAUAAACAUUACUCUUUUUGAGUUGUCAUACAAAAUUAUGAUGAAUCUGAAUAUGCCAGUUCACCUUUUUAUUAGUACUCUUUUGAUUCAUAAGAUUUUGAGUUAGAUUCUAGAUUUUGAAAUAAAUAUAAUAAAGUGCAAUAAUAUCAAUAAAAUUAAAUAACUACACUAAGAAAUAUAACAAGUAAUGUAACUUUGUAAUUUCUAUACAUUUUUCAAAGCAACAGUAUGUAAUUUGAGAACAGCUAAAACAUGCACAGUUUUUAAAGCAACAAUAAUUCUUGCACAACUUUUCAAAGUAUAAGAGUUUUAUGUAUAGAUUUUAAAGAUGCAGAAAAUUCUACACAGAAUUAAAAAUUAAAGAAAAUAGAUCACAGAGAAUAUAAAGCUAUAGAAAAUCUGUAUAGAUUUUAAAGCUACAGUAAUUUUCUACAUAGAUUUUUAAUCUGCAAAAAAAUUUCUGCACUGUUUUUAAAGAUGCAAAAAAUUCUGCUAAAAUUUUAAAAAUUAGGCUCAAAAGAAUUUGUACGAUUUUUAAAGUUGCAUAAACCUGUUUGCAUAAUUUUAAAACAAUAUGACUUGCUAAAAGAACUGAUUUUUGUAAGAAAAAAAAACUUUUAUAGCUUUUUAAUUCUAUAUAAUUAAAAUCAAAAUUUAGUCCUAUGCAAUUGAACUAAAUUUGAUAAACAAUCAUAUAGUAAUUUCUAGUGUAAUCAAGAACACGUUUCUAGACUGUUGGAAAUAUUUUGUCUAGAAAUUGCUAUAUCUUUAUUCUAUAGAAGUACUAUAAAUGAAUAAUCUACUAAAAUAAAAUCAAAAAAUUAAAAAGUACUUUUCUGGAUUGAGGCGUAUGAUAUACACUGCUCUAAGAACGUAAUUCGUCUCCUAUAUAUAGGACAAGUUGGGGAAUGCGAGCACUUGGUUUUAGUUUGGUGGCGGGGGUGGCCGUAUAAGUACUGGUGGGAAUGUCUUUUUUUUGGAUGUAAGUGAUGCCUAUCUCUCUGUCUAUCUAUCUACGUCAAUAUGGGUAAUAAUAGAUAAUUUGACGUAAGGGGAGGCAAAGAUUGGAAGGUUGGGCGGGGGAAUACUUUUGGAUUGGAUUCUAUCUGGGUUGGAUUUCUUUGCGGCCUAUUGCGUAACAUUUGCUCCGCUGAAUAGUUUGCGUGAGAAUAAAAAAAAUAAUUCUGAAUAGAAAACAAAUUUUAUAAAUAUAUUUUUUUGCUAAAAUGGACACCUCUUUAAUUUAUUACGAUUUGCCCUUACAUCUCAAAUAUUUCAAUUUUUGAUUAGACCUCAAAAGUUAAAAAUUAGUUGCAAUAGGGCCCAUAUGUCCAUCCGAGCUCUAUCACUGUUAACUGUAAGUGAGAAAUGACUAAUGUACUCUUGAAAUUUCGUUACCAUCAAAACUUAACUCCUUUUAUAAUCUAGCUGACAAAGGUAUUGAUGGAAUUUUGUGUCUAAACUUAUCGCAUGUGAUAAUCACAUGUUUAUGGAUCCUUGCAAGAGAUAGGUGGGCGGGCCACAUUGCAACCUACACCUAAGUUUUGAGGUAUAACUGAAAAAUUAGAAUGUUUAGGGUGGAAGUGCAAAUCGUGAAAAAUUGGAAGGAUGUCACUGUAAUUUUGUCUAAAAAAAUAAAGUACAAAUAUAGAGAUGCUGUCGGAGAACAUCCAAAUAUUCUGUUGUUUUCUUCCUUCUGGAGGCACCGACAGACAAUGGUGACCAAGCUAUACCGUGCAGAAGGAGGUCAUGGUUUCUCAAUGAUGAUCCCUAAGUUGACCGUAAGGAUGCCAUUGAGGAAGGCAAAGCAGGGAAUAAGAGACGUUGGAGCAUCUCACUCCAAAUAAAAGUGGUGUAACGAUAUGAGAGGAAUAAAUGAUUAAUAGUUUCAGGAAAAGCAGCACAGAGGACUGGCCUGGAGCUAGAAUGACAGGUACUCAGGAUUUUGGUUUACUAGAGUUAUCUAACAAAAUCAAUACAGGGUUUCUGAUUCCUGCUCGUAACAUGAUGAGAGAAAGCAUCGGUCUUCUGAUUGGUUCUUCUUGGCCUCACAAAAGUGCUCAAUAAUGAAGAGUAGAAGGGUGCAAGACCAUAGCAAGAAGAAGAGGGUGCAUGAUGUCCAGAUAGCCACCGAGUGGUGGAAGGUUACUUCUAAAGCGUUAGUUGCAAUGGAGAUAUUGAAGAAAGAACCUGAACAAGUGAUAUCUGCAGGCAGAUUAAUCCGAGCAAGCCACAUAAGGUCGCAGACUUUAUCUGCUAGUCUCGAAAGCUGUUUGAGCUGUACAGGGCCAAGAAGGGAGUGAUAUUGUGUGGGCUAAUGAAGGAAGCCGAGGACCUUGUGGAAGAAGAGGCUGGGCUAAUGAAAAAGCAUUCAAGGAAAGCAGCCGAACAUGCUACGAGGUUCUUGAUGACCAAAGAAAAAAUAGAGGCCCAUAGAUAAUUUCAAGCAUUUAAAAAAAAUAAUAAUUUAAAUGCAAUAAAGAAAUUAAACAUUAAUGCGCAUAUAUCAAGCAAUAAACAUUUAUAAAUAUUGCUUACUCAUAACAGCCCAUCAGCUCUCAAUAAUCAAUAAUAGUGCUAUCAUGCAUGCUUACCAUUUUGUUCCUUUUUUUUAAAAAAAAAAACUUUAGGUUUUCGGAGUUUUAAUGAGUUCCCUGACAUUGAGGAUGAUCUAUUUCGUGGUGACCAUGUUAAUCAAAAUACCGACAUUGAGGAUGAUGAGACCGAUGGUACCAUUGAUGAUUCUUCCCUUGCAGAUGAUUCUGAGAUGGACGUAGAAGAGCUAUAUGAUUCUUAUAAAGAUUGAAUCCACUUGAGGUUAGUAAUCUUAUGUUAAAAAGAAGUCUUACCAUCUUGAUUAAGUCUAAUAUAUUCUGUUUGUUUUGCAGCAAUACAUCCAUACUUGUCAUAGUGCAUUCCUGAUACUUUGCAGAACAACUUUGAAAUUAUGCAAGUUGCCAUUCCUUUCUUAUAUCUCUUGCAUGCUUUACAUGUUAUCCCAAAUCAGUCUUUGCUCCCAGGUGCUCUCUUUAUUCUGCAUCCUCAAUUUGAAAUUUUUUCUUAAUGAAUUUUGAUGGGUUAACUGUCUUUUGCUUAAAAACAGAAAGAAAAGAAAACAAAUUUUAUCAAACUUAUGUGUUGUCCUAUUUACUUUGCUGUAAUCUUUUACAUUUGUAAAAUAUUGUAAUUGGUUCAAUGGUCAGAUAGGUUUGAUGUCUUGGUAGGGCAAUGUUAACAAAUAAAGGUUCUCACAGCGAUGUUAUUGGCUAGGCGGAGAUCAUUGGUUCGAAGAAGAACAUGACACAUAAAGACAUCAUGACUAGAAGUUUGCGCUCAACCUCAAUAAAAAAUAUCAGGAUGCUUUCAGGACUCUUGGUACCAUUAGCUUGACAACUAAUCCUAUUGAAUAACCUCUGUGAAUAUCAGAACUCAAAUAGGCAAACAUAAAGACCUUUAAUGUCAGAUCCAUUUUGUUAAUGGUAUCCACCCCUGAUAAUUUUGAACAGGCUCCUACAGAAUCCACUACUACUGUUACAACUAAUCCACCAUCACAAACUGGCUUCAUUUGUCAUAUUAGUGGAGAUUUCCACAUGAGAUAAUCGUACUUUAUCCAGGGUUGACAUACAUUUCUGUCCUUGCACUGAUCAAAUCUGGCUCUUUGAAAUUAACUCUGUAUCUGUGAACCUCAAAAAUCAAUUUGUUAUGCAUAUUAACAAUAAGGAGCUGAUGAAAAGUUGCAUUCUUAAGGGUCCUCUGAGUCCACUUAUCUGCAAAGUCCCUAGUGGGAUUCAUAAAUAAUGUCUACCAGUAACAAUAGCUGGGAUGAAGCUCUUCUGACCUAUGCUAAAUGAAGUGUCAAGCUUAGCAAUACUCGUGGGAACACCAAAGGCAAAGACCUUAACAGAGUGCAGUUCUUGCUAUCCAUGGAGCAAAUGAAAAGGAAGGAUUGGCAGUUAGGAGGGAUUGCAGGGUGAGACCAACCCUUACAAUUAGAGGGCUUUCAAUAUAUCUCAUUUUCUAUGUAGAGCCUGUCACAAGGGUUAAUAUGUUAAGCUACCAGCAUCCAAUACAUGAGGAGGAAUCCUUUUCGUCCAAGUAUGACCCUUGAAAUUUGCAUCACCAAAUACAAAGAGAACAACUCCUAGAGUGACACAAUUCUCUAUCUUGCGCUUGGUUUGUAUAGCUUUCUUCUCUUUUUUUUGGUGUAAACUGAGCUUGUAGCAUGUGCUGUGGGCUGGGCACUGAGAUGGAUGCCAGGCUGAGCUAUAUAUCAGGCCUCAAACAAGCAGCAGUAUGUAGACUAUAGUGGAUUGUACAUUUAUAUAGCAUGUUGACAUUCUCAUAAUUAGAGACUUAAGAGGUUAGAACAAGCUCUCCUUCAUCCUUAAUGUGUUCUGAUGUGCCUUAGAAUGGAAUAUCAGUGCAGUCUCCUGCAUAAUAGAUUUGAUAUAAGUUGUUCAAUAUGUUUGCUGACACCAAACCAAAUCAGAUCAGACUUUAAAGGGAGAUUUCUAAAUAAGAGCAUAAUCUUUUUACAUUGAAAAGCUGGUAAGAUGCAUUUCAGUUUUACGCUAAUAAAAUCCAGUAUUGUUAGAUUUUGUGGCCCUAAUUAAAACAGAAUGGAGGAAAAGGAUUCAUGCAUCUGUCCCCAACUAGUUUGAGAUUGAGGCUUAGUUGAGUUUAAAAUCCGAUAUUUUUCGAUUUUGUAUCUUUGUGUACAUGUGGUGAUUGUUGAGGGUUGCAUAUGCAUAUCUGUGCUUAUGAAUUGAUAUCUAAAUGCAUGUGGUAAUGCACAUGUGCAUGUAUAUAUAUCUGCAUGUCUUGUCUGUACUACACAUUUUCCUAAUAAUUCAAGACUAACGAUCCAAAUGGGUAGCACAGAAUUAGGAUAUAUUCGAACUGCCCAAUAGUUGCAGCCUGCCAUUUAAAAUCAAUAGAUGAACAAUUUUAAUUAUGCACCAGAAUGAGGCAUCAAGUUUGUUUCACCUUAGAUGUUGCAAAGUGGAAAUCAGUAAUUUUCUGUGAAAAUAUGCUCUCAACAUUAAGAUUCUUUAUCUCCAUACCCAACUCAAACAAAACUAAAAUAGGGAAUUUGCUAAACAAAAUACUUCCAAAAGUGAGGCUAUGCUAUGUCUGCCUAAACCGUACCCAUUAUCCUCAUUCAACUAUCAUAAAUUAAGAAGGCUCCAUCCAAUUUUUCCAUGUCCGCAUUUGGAGGGCACACAAGGAGUCUUUCUUAUAAAUUCGAUCCAUUUAAUGAAGAGGAACAGAAUCGCUAGCAUUGUAUGAACAUGCAACUCUAUACAACUCUGCAUAUGUUCUUUCUCUAAACUGUCAUCUUCCUCCUAUAUGUUCUUCUUGUAUUACUUUAGACUUGUGUGCUGGCAUUGAACUCUGUCGCCUUAAUUUUGAUAAUCUACAGUCAGAGUGUGUACUCACUACCUAUAAUUUUGAUAAUCACAGAAUCAAGGAGGCAGUAAAGUUUGAGGACAUAGAUGUCCCACCUCAGAACGAAGGCACAGUAUUCCCUUUUCAAAGGGUUGGAGAAGAGCUAAGGUACCAAAAUGGAGUCGAACCAAAACCAAAGAAGAAAUAAAACUGCUCUAAAGGACAGAUAAGAAUGAAAUGCACACCACUGCAUUUCUUAUCAUCGUGACCAGAAAAAUUUGCAUGCCUUUAGACUAGUUUCCCUAUCUAUCAUUCUCUCUUCCAAUAGCUCCAAAAGGUAGUAUACCUUUUCAGGCUGCCUCCCAGGCAUCAUAACUCUUAUUAAAAAUCCUUCUAGUUUUUAUUAUUUCUAAUCAACCAAUACAACGCAAGAGCAGUUAUACUCAUGCUAAAAUUUCUGGGCAGGUUCGUAAAAAGGAUUUUGAUAAAUACAGUAUUCUAUCAUUGACUUGGGUUCUUUUUGGUUUUGACUAUCUCUUUUUUUGUGUAAGUGUGUCCAUAUGUUUUUAAACUUGUUCCCAUGGAUACGAUGCAUAUCCAGCUUUUUCUAAUUGUUACAUUCAACUCAUCUUGCCCUAUCCAAUACUAGCACUUCUCUGUAUCGAAGCUCCAUCAUGACCAUCUGCUCUGAUACCAUAUUGAAAUCACCACUUGUUCCAAGAACUUAAGCUGAUAAAAUGAGGUAAAUUUAUUUAUAUAUUUCAUAUUUUUUUACAAAUAGCAAUGUCUCAUACUUGCUACUCAUAUAUCACAUUAAGAGAGAAGUAGAGGCAUGCAAUUUUUUUUCUCAGAAAUGCUUUGCAGAUUAGCUCUAUAGAAAGGGAAAAGAAAUUUACCACUCCUUGUGCAGGAGUUUACAGACAUUUAUCAUUUCCAUAGUUAAACAGGGUUUUUUUCCUGCGGUGUAGUUAUGCAAUAAACAACUGCACAUGGUCUGACUUUAUGAGGCCACAUGGGAUUCAUGGCAACUUUUUUUUUUGUCAGAUGCUCAUGAAGUAUAGCCAAUGGAAAAUUUUCCAUCAUCUCAAUGGUGGUAUUUCUUUGGCAAGACAAAUUCAUUGUUCAUUUAGUGCCCACCAAAACCUUGGGUUAUGCAGACCUACGAACUUGGCAGACAACCAGAUUGACAAGAAUGGCAUCUAGAUGCCAUGGGUCCAAGUGGAGAAUGUUCUUGUCACAUUAAGUAUCUUCUUGUAUGCCACUUUUGUUUCUGAGUUGGGAAGACCUGACUUGUGGAUUGAGAUCGGUGUAGAUGAGAUUGGGACCAGCUAGAGGAAAUGCCUUAUGAUGGAGUCCGACAUGGUGUGUCACAUUCAUAUAGUUUGUUAUUGUUUCUGAUAAGGUUCACCAUCUCGAUAUCAGAUCUCGUACUGAUCUCAUCCUAUUACAAUAUCGGUAUGCGGCACAAUACGAGACAAUAAGAUGUAUCGAAUGUUGGUAUAGUACAAGACUACAUGCUGAUUCAGUACUGGUAUGGUAUAGGACGCUCGGUACGGUACCGACAGGUAUGACAAAGAAGAAUGAAAAAUGGAAUUGUUUUAAAAUUAAAUUGCUUGAUAGCUCUGACAACUCUUUAAUCAGUGUAAUCUACUGCUAGAAAGCAAUCAUCCAUUUUGGACGGGUGGAUACCAAUUUGCGAGGUUGUCGACAGCUAUGUAUUUUGAGUCCUUGAAUGGUUGAUGAUAGAACCAUCAUAUAUGCUACUUCCGCCAAACUGUGGUUACUUAGCAUGGUUUCUGUAAGGUCUUAGCAUCAGUUGAGGCACUCCUGCAAGUCUCACGGAGAAAAGUAUAAAAGAACUUAAUAAGGGAUUUAUUAUAAAUAUACCUGAAUUGUUUUUGAGUAUUGACACUGCAGGAGCGCACACAUGCAUACACUUGUAUAUACAUGCAUCUAUUCUAGAAAUGCAUAUAUUAACAUAUGUAGGGAAGGCUUAUAUAUUGUUUUACUAUGCUAAUAUUUCAAAUGAUAUGAACUUCAGGCAUUCAACAAACCAUGCGAUAUAUGAUACAUAAUCAUCCAUAAAUUACCUUGAACCCUUUUCUCUCAACAAAAUUACCUUAAGCCCUUGUUCUUAAAGCUAAAUAAAUGCUGGUUAGGAUUGUUCGGAAGGGAUAUUUCAUACAAAAUGUUUUAUCUUUUCAUUUUCACCAUAGCAGACUGAAAGUGGGUUGGUGCUAAUUUUGUGUCCACUUCCGCAUCCAUCAAAUGUUUAAUUUUUAUCCGAGUACGUAAAACUAGCCAAUAAUAUGGGUGGAAUUAAUAAUAUUGAGAACAUUUAGCACCUCUAGUUGCACUAUUUCAUAUUGUUCGUUGCUUCAUUUUCUCUUUUUUAUUCCAUUUCACAUUUUAGCAUGCUUGUAUCUUUAUAAUUUUGUUUUAUGAAAAUUAUGCUAGUCGUUGUCACGCCCUAAUUUGAUAGCCCAAGCCGAGCAUGUGAUAGACGUCCACACAUCCAUAGAGUUUAACCCCAUAGAAUAGAAAGGCUAGUCUUUUUCAUAUAUAUAUAUAUGUACAUUAUUCCCAACUUGAGUAGUAGUAAAAACAAUUAAUCUAAUGCUAUUAUUCAAAAAAAAAUAGCCCACAAUCACUAAUAAUAAUAAAUAAAUAUAAUAUAAAUGUCCAAUACAAUUUAUUUAAAGAAAGUUAAUCUGAUGUUUUCUAGAAUUUAAGCUCCUUACUACUUAAUCCAAAUCUUGAUUUAUUCUUCUGGAUCUGAAAAAAAAAGAAGAGAAAUAAUGAGCUUUAUGGCCCAGUAAGCUAUCAAAACCUCUAGUUAGAUCAAAUAUAUUGUAUAAGAAAAUAAAUUUUCAGUUUGCAUGAUUUUUCAUAAUAAAACUAUGCUAAUGAAUACAUGAAACAUAUCAUAUUUAUCAACAUAGAUUUUGAGAUAUAUAAUGCAUAUAGCCAAAAAAAAUUUCAAAAUAAACAUGGAUGAACCAUCCACUCUCACUCUCCUAGUCUUACGACUAUGGCCAUGAUUGGUCUAUGGCAAGCUUCGAAAGAGACUAAAUCCUGACUACAAUAUAUCAUCCAUCGGUCAUGCACUAGCGAUUGUCCCAUUGGAGGCUCGGAAGAUAACCAGCUUUGCAAUCAUACGGAAAAAAAAAAAUGCUUCCAUCAGUAUGUGCCGACGUCCAGCCAUCAUAUUUUACAUCAUAUGUUAAAUAAUUUAACAUAACAUAAUGUAGAUCAGAUUAUGUACAUAAUUAAACACUAGAGAUAAAGAUAACUUAUAGUUUCUGGUUUAAAAUCUUUUGAAAUUCACCAAUUAGAAAAGUCAUAAAAAAAUCUAAAAUACUUAAGUGUCUUAUUAGACUUCCAUAAGGCACCAUAUAACUGAAAAUGUCCUAUAAUAGAGUUCAGUCUAUAUUCAGACCACCAAAUCUAGCCUAAUAUCUAGGGGUCUCCACCAUCCCUUGGAUCUAACAACGAAUUACAACUUAACACUAACACAAGUAUUUCACAAUGAGAUGAAGUUCGUGAUUACCUAAAUGUGAAGGAAUUGGUCUCAAUCAUGGAUCCUGAUUUCCACAUGAUCAUAUUAAGAUUCUUGGAUUAGAUCUAAUUUUACAAUUAAAAGAAAAUUAAACUAAAUAAAGAGAAUAGAGAGAAAAUCGGGGAAAGCUCGUAACUGGUCUGCAGUCAAAGAAAAUAUCAAAGGGAAGAGAGAGAAGAAGAGGAUUUAUGAAAACAAUAAAUGAAGAAAAAAUAGGAAGAAAAGAAAAGAAAUUAGAAGAUAAUGAUGAAAACGGAGGGAAAGAAGAAGAGAGGGAAGAGGAGAGGGAGGGGGAGGGUUCAUGGUGGCCACUUCGUGGCAGUUGUGGCUCUAUGACUGGUCAGCGGCGUGCGACGAUAGUGUUCGCCGGUGGGAAUGGGUCGAACACGAAGAAGAAAUGGCGGAAUAUGGCAAUCGGCUCAGCUGAAAAUCGGAAGAAUCAGCUCAGCUUUAGUAAGAAUGGAAAUGGGUGAGGGAAGGAGCUCAGAGGUGUAGGCAGAGGCUGACGAAUCUUAGGCAACGACAGCAGAUUCUAGCGAGAAGAAAGAUAAUGGAACUCGAAACAUGGGAACAAAGAAAGAGGGGUUUUGCAAGGGAAGAAUGGGGUUUUGGCCAGCGGAGCUCAGUGGU
rnacentral:lncRNA from 1 species